ACGAAGGGGGCUAGCGUUGUUCGGAAUUACUGGGCGUAAAGCGCACGUAGGCGGAUAUUUAAGUCAGGGGUGAAAUCCCAGAGCCCAACUCUGGAACUGCCUUUGAUACUGGGUAUCUUGAGUAUGGAAGAGGUAAGUGGAAUUGCGAGUGUAGAGGUGAAAUUCGUAGAUAUUCGCAGGAACACCAGUGGCGAAGGCGGCUUACUGGUCCAUUACUGACGCUGAGGUGCGAAAGCGUGGGGAGCAAACAGGA
rnacentral:rRNA from 1 species